GCGGUUCCGGUUCACGUGCGCGACCCGCGCCGCACGACCCGGCGACC
rnacentral:ncRNA from 1 species